GAUGAACGCUGGCGGCGUGCCUAAUACAUGCAAGUCGAGCGAACGGACGAGAAGCUUGCUUCUCUGAUGUUAGCGGCGGACGGGUGAGUAACACGUGGAUAACCUACCUAUAAGACUGGGAUAACUUCGGGAAACCGGAGCUAAUACCGGAUGAUAUUUUGAACCGCAUGGUUCAAAAGUGAAAGACGGUCUUGCUGUCACUUAUAGAUGGAUCCGCGCUGCAUUAGCUAGUUGGUAAGGUAACGGCUUACCAAGGCAACGAUGCAUAGCCGACCUGAGAGGGUGUUCGGCCACACUGGAACUGAGACACGGUCCAGACUCCUACGGGAGGCAGCAGUAGGGAAUCUUCCGCAAUGGGCGGAAGCCUGACGGAGCAACGCCGCGUGAGUGAUGAAGGUCUUCGGAUCGUAAAACUCUGUUAUUAGGGAAGAACAUAUGUGUAAGUAACUGUGCACAUCUUGACGGUACCUAAUCAGAAAGCCACGGCUAACUACGUG
rnacentral:rRNA from 1 species